rnacentral:tRNA from 1 species
GGCUCAGUGGUAGAGUACUUGCCUUGCACGCAUGAGGCCCUGGGUUCGAUUCCUCAG